rnacentral:rRNA from 1 species
UACAGAGGUCCCCAAGCGUUGUUCGGAUUCACUAGGGCGUAAAGGGUGCGUAGGUGGUGAUCUAAGUCGGGUGUGAAAUCUCCGGGCUCAACCCGGAGGCUGCGCUCGAAACUGGACCGCUAGAGGGUGGGAGGGAGACUGGAAUUCUCGGUGUAGCAGUGAAAUGCGUAGAUAUCGAGAGGAACACCGGUGGCGAAGGCGAGUCUCUGGACCCAUCCCUGACACUGAGGCACGGAAAA